UACGAAGGGGCGAGCGUUGUUCGGAUUUACUGGGCGUAAAGGCGCGUAGGCGCUUGUCAGUCAGGCGUGAAAGCCCGGGCUCAACCGGGAACGGCGCUUGGACGGCGAGGCUGGAGUUCGGAGAGGAGAGUGGAAUUCCCAGUGUAGAGGUGAAAUUCGUAGAUAUUGGGAAGAACACCGGUGGCGAAGGCGGCUCUCUGGACCGACACUGACGCUGAGGCGCGAAAGCGUGGGAGCAACAGG
rnacentral:rRNA from 1 species